GGGCUCGUAGUAAAAUGGUAUUACGCAGCAUUCGCAUUGCUGAGUUCCGGGUUCGAUUCCCGGUGAGUCCA
rnacentral:tRNA from 1 species